rnacentral:rRNA from 1 species
AAGAUUAAGCCAUGCAUGUCUAAGUAUAAACAAAUUUAUACCGUGAAACUGCGAAUGGCUCAUUAAAUCGGUUAUAGUUUAUUUGAUGGUAUCUUGCUACAUGGAUAACUGUGGUAAUUCUAGAGCUAAUACAUGCUUAAAAGCCCCGACUUCUGGAAGGGGUGUAUUUAUUAGAUAAAAAACCAAAUGACUUCGGUCUCCCUGGUGAUUCAUAAUAACUUCUCGAAUCGCAU